rnacentral:rRNA from 1 species
GAUGAACGCUGGCGGCGUGCCUAAUGCAUGCAAGUCGAGCGAACAGACGAGGAGCUUGCUCCUCUGACGUUAGCGGCGGACGGGUGAGUAACACGUGGAUAACCUACCUAUAAGACUGGGAUAACUUCGGGAAACCGGAGCUAAUACCGGAUAAUAUAUUGAACCGCAUGGUUCAAUAGUGAAAGACUGUUUUGCUGUCCCUUAUAGAUGGAUCCGCGCCGCAUUAGCUAGUUGGUAAGGUAACGGCUUACCAAGGCGACGAUGCGUAGCCGACCUGAGAGGGUGAUCGGCCACACUGGAACUGAGACACGGUCCAGACUCCUACGGGAGGCAGCAGUAGGGAAUCUUCCGCAAUGGGCGAAAGCCUGACGGAGCAACGCCGCGUGAGUGAUGAAGGUCUUCGGAUCGUAAAACUCUGUUAUUAGGGAAGAACAAAUGUGUAAGUAACUAUGCACGUCUUGACGGUACCUAAUCAGAAAGCCACGGCUAACUACGUGCCAGCAGCCGCCGUAA